rnacentral:rRNA from 1 species
AUUGAACGCUGGCGGCAUGCCUUACACAUGCAAGUCGAACGGCAGCACGAGGGCAACCCUGGUGGCGAGUGGCGAACGGGUGAGUAAUACAUCGGAACGUGCCCCGUAGCGGGGACGAACCAGUCGAAGACUGGCUAAUACCGCAUACGCUCCACGGAGGAAAGACAGGGGAGUCGCAAGACCUUGCACUAUGGGAGGCGGCCGAUGCCCGAUUAG